rnacentral:rRNA from 1 species
GGAUUGGAAAUGGGCGCAGCCUGAUCCAGCAAUGCCGCGUGUGUGAAGAAGGCCUUCGGGUUGUAAAGCACUUUUAUCAGGAACGAAACACUGUCGGCUAAUACCCGGCGGGACUGACGGUACCUGAGGAAUAAGCACCGGCUAACUUCGUGCCAGCAGCCGCGGUAAUACGAAGGGUGCAAGCGUUAAUCGGAAUUACUGGGCGUAAAGCGUGCGUAGGCGGUUGCUUAAGUCUGUUGUGAAAUCCCCGGGCUCAACCUGGGAAUGGCAAUGGAUACUGGGCAGCUAGAGUGUGUCAGAGGAUGGUGGAAUUCCCGGUGUAGCGGUGAAAUGCGUAGAGAUCGGGAGGAACAUCAGUGGCGAAGGCGGCCAUCUGGGACAACACUGACGCUGAGGCACGAAAGCGUGGGGAGCAAACAGGAUUAGAUACCCUGGUAGUCCACGCCCUAAACGAUGCGAACUGGAUGUUGGUCUCAACUCGGAGAUCAGUGUCGAAGCUAACGCGUUAAGUUCGCCGCCUGGGGAGUACGGUCGCAAGACUGAAACUCAAAAAAAUUGACGGA